rnacentral:rRNA from 1 species
AUUGAACGCUGGCGGCAGGCCUAACACAUGCAAGUCGAGCGGAUGAAGGGAGCUUGCUCCUGGAUUCAGCGGCGGACGGGUGAGUAAUGCCUAGGAAUCUGCCUGGUAGUGGGGGAUAACGUCCGGAAACGGGCGCUAAUACCGCAUACGUCCUGAGGGAGAAAGUGGGGGAUCUUCGGACCUCACGCUAUCAGAUGAGCCUAGGUCGGAUUAGCUAGUUGGUGGGGUAAAGGCCUACCAAGGCGACGAUCCGUAACUGGUCUGAGAGGAUGAUCAGUCACACUGGAACUGAGACAGGGUCAAGACUCCUACGGGAGGCAGCAGUGGGGAAUAGUGGACAAUGGGCGAAAGCCUGAUCCAGCCAUGCCGCGUGUGUGAAGAAGGUCUUCGGAUUGUAAAGCACUUUAAGUUGGGAGGAAGGGCAGUAAGUUAAUACCUUGCUGUUUUGACGUUACCAACAGAAUAAGCACCGGCUAACUUCGUG